rnacentral:piRNA from 1 species
UAAACCUUAAGAUAUAUAUUGUCUGAAAUUC